rnacentral:rRNA from 1 species
UACGUAGGGUGCGAGCGUUAAUCGGAAUUACUGGGCGUAAAGCGUGCGCAGGCGGUUUUGUAAGCCGGAUGUGAAAUCCCCGGGCUUAACCUGGGAAUGGCAUUCGGGACUGCAAGGCUGGAGUGCGGCAGAGGGAGGUGGAAUUCCACGUGUAGCGGUGAAAUGCGUAGAGAUGUGGAGGAACACCGAUGGCGAAGGCAGCCUCCUGGGCCAACACUGACGCUCAUGCACGAAAGCGUGGGGAGCAAACAGG